rnacentral:rRNA from 1 species
UACAGAGGGAGCAAGCGUUGUUCGGAAUUACUGGGCGUAAAGGGCGCGUAGGCGGUUUUGUAAGUCUCACGUGAAAUCCCUCGGCUUAACUGAGGAACCGCGAGAGAAACUGCAAGACUUGAGUUCGGGAGAGGGAAGCGGAAUUCCGGGUGUAGCGGUGAAAUGCGUAGAUAUCCGGAGGAACACCGGUGGCGAAGGCGGCUUCCUGGACCGACACUGACGCUGAGGCGCGAAAGCUAGGGGAGCAAACGGG